rnacentral:lncRNA from 1 species
GGGGGGUGACCGUUGGGGGGUGACCGUUGGGGGGUGACCGUUGGGGUGCCGGCAGCAGCACCACGUCGUUCCUCAGCAGCGGCUGUGCCCGCCCCGGGCCGUAACCUUGGGCUCCCCGCUCCGCCCGGGGCGGCUCCCCCGGUCCCCCCUGGUUCCCCCCGGGUCCCCUCAGCCUCGGUCCCCGGCCCCGGAGCCCGACGUGUGGCUGUCGCUGUGUGCGUGGGGGCGCUUCCCCUCCUCAUCCUCGCUGCCAGCUGUGCAGCUCGCCGUAGUUCCUUCAGAGCAUCCGGAUUUUGUCAGGGCUGGGCGGUUUGACAAAUGUUUCUGUGGAGGAAAGGAUGUCAUCUACAAUGGGAAUUUCUACGGAGUAAUUUCUGAUUUUCAAAAAGUACUAGAGGUGUAG